GUGAGGAAUUUUCCGCAAUGGGCGAAAGCCUGACGGAGCAAUGCCGCGUGAAGGAUGAAGGCCUAUGGGUUGUAAACUUCUUUUCUUAGAGAAGAAUAUUGACGGUAUCUGAGGAAUAAGCAUCGGCUAACUCUGUGCCAGCAGCCGCGGUAAGACAGAGGAUGCAAGCGUUAUCCGGAAUGAGUGGGCGUAAAGCGUCUGUAGGUGGCUUCAAAAGUCUCCUGUCAAAUAUCAGGGCUUAACCCUGGGCCGGCAGGAGAAACUCUGAGGCUAGAGUUUGGGAGGGGCAGAGGGAAUUCCCUGUUGAGCGGUGAAAUGCGUAGAGAUCGGGAGGAACACCAAAGGCGAAAGCACUCUGCUGGGCCACAACUGACACUGAGAGACGAAAGCGAGGGGAGCAAAAGGGAUUAGAAACCCUUGUAGUCC
rnacentral:rRNA from 1 species